rnacentral:rRNA from 1 species
GACGAACGCUGGCGGCGUGCUUAACACAUGCAAGUCGAACGAUGAAGCUGGAGCUUGCUCUGGUGGAUUAGUGGCGAACGGGUGAGUAACGCGUGAGUAACCUGCCCUUGACUCUGGGAUAAGCGCUGGAAACGGCGUCUAAUACCGGAUACGAACUUCCACCGCAUGGUGAGUUGCUGGAAAGAAUUUCGGUCAAGGAUGGACUCGCGGCCUAUCAGCUUGUUGGUGAGGUUACGGCUCACCAAGGCGACGACGGGUAGCCGGCCUGAGAGGGUGACCAGCCAGCCUGGGACUGAGACACGGCCCAGACUCCUACGGGAGGCAGCAGUGGGGAAUAUUGCACAAUGGGCGCAAGCCUGAUGCAGCAACGCCGCGUGAGGGACGAAGGCCUUCGGGUCGUAAACCUCUUUUAGCAGGGAAGAAGCGAAAGUGACGGUACCUGCAGAAAAAGCACCGGCUAACUACGUGCCAGCAGCCGCCGUAA